UACCUGUCUGCAGCCACCAAUAACCGUGCACCAACAGUACUGAACUGCUUCUUGGAAGCUGUUCAUACUUUUGGACUACCAUCUCGUGUGCGGUCUGACAAAGGAGGGGAGAAUAUUGAAGUGGCACACUAUAUGGUGACGCACAGAGGAACCGACCGCAAUUCUCACAUUACUGGAAGAAGUAUGCAUAAUCAGAGGAUUGAGAGGUUAUGGCGUGAUGUCUUUGGGGGAGUAUUGGAUCUCUUUUACUCCAGUUUCUGCAGGAUGGAAAAUGAAGACCUACUCAACCCAGAUGAUGAAAUCCAUCUGUAUGCACUGCAUUGGAGCUUUUUACCACACAUCCAGAGGCACCUGGAUUUCUUUAAGGAAGGGUGGAACAACCACAAACUGCGAACUGAAUACAAUCAGUCACCUCUUCAGAUAUGGACCCUAAACCAGCGUGAGGGGGAAGAACCUGCGCAGACUGAUCAUGAGUAUGGAAUAGACUGGGAAAAUCCAUCUGGUUAUCGCAAUGAAGGCCUCAUCAUUCCUGAAGUACAGCUUCCAAGGGCAUUGAGUCCUGAAGAAAUUCAGCAGUUACCAAAUCCUCAUGGCUCAUUUUCUGAUGUGUUAAAUGUGUAUAGUGCCACAGUUGCUACUGUAACUCAAAUGUUUCAAAUCAAAAUCAGAUUAAAUGUCUAUACUUUGAA